UUAGUUAAAAAUAUAAAUCCUGAAGAGACAAAUCUUCCUUACAGAAGAAUGCCAAUUAAUACAUGUAGAAAGAAUAUAGGAAAUAGAAAAUCACAAUUAGA